UUCUCAAUAGAGCAGACAAAGCCCGCAGCUGCGACGAAGAGAGAACAGGGUUCUGCGCAUUGUGCGGGCCGGGAGGGGAUGCCGGGCUGGGGGUGGGACCCCCUGACAAAGGAUGGGGUCCCCCCAUCCCUAAGUAGCAAGCCAUCUCCCCUCAUCCCCCCGCAUCCCAGUCUCGGAGAUCUCAGAAGCACCGACUGGGAGGUGUCAUCUCAAGCUUCCACCUCACCCUCGGCUUCUGGCGGGGCAUGCAACACGCGGGGGGACAAGAAAGCUACCAGUCUAUUUCUGACUCAGGACAAAAGCCCAGGUGGCUGAGACCUGGGAAUCACCAUGGGCCUGACCAGCUCCCCACGUCAUCUUGAGCUACCCAGAUGCUUAAGACUGGCUUCAUGUCCAGCGCCCUCCUGAGUCCCUGGAAGACACUGUUCAAGGGACAGGCUAAGGAAACUGGUAUUUGAAUCCAGCUGAACUGGGUCUGAAAGGGAAUAAUAAUAAUAGUAUCUAACUAAUAAGGAUGUAAAACUUUUCAUUCAAUAAAUACGUAUUGAACACC